rnacentral:rRNA from 1 species
CAGAGGGUGCAAGCGUUGUUCGGAAUUAUUGGGCGUAAAGCGCGUGUAGGCGGCUUGGCAAGUCAGAUGUGAAAGCCCUCGGCUUAACCGAGGAAGUGCGUCUGAAACUGCUGAGCUUGAGUGUCGGAGAGGAUGGCGGAAUUCCGCAAGUAGAGGUGAAAUUCGUAGAUAUGCGGAGGAACACCGGUGGCGAAGGCGGCCAUCUGGACGACUACUGACGCUGAGACGCGAAAGCGUGGGGAGCAAACAGGAUUAGAUACCCUGGUAGUCCACGCUGUAAACGAUGAGAACUAGGUGUCGUGGGUGUUGACCCCCGCGGUGCCGUAGCUAACGCAUUAAGUUCUCCGCCUGGGAAGUACGGCCGCAAGGCUA